rnacentral:rRNA from 1 species
GAUGAGCCUGCGUCCCAUCAGUUAGUUGGUAAGGUAACGGCUUACCAAGGCGAAGACGGGUAGCUGGUUUGAGAGAAUGAUCAGCCACACUGGAACUGGAACACGGUCCAGACUCCCACGGGAGGCAGCAGUGAGGCCACUUGGGCAAUGGGGCGGCAAGCCUGACCCAGCCACGCCGCGUGAGUGAUGAAGGGGCUUCGGGUUGUAAAGCUCUGUGGAGAGAGAAGAAAAACCGGCGGAAUAAUACCUGACCGGCUUGACGGUAU